rnacentral:rRNA from 1 species
AUUGAACGCUGGCGGCAUGCCUUACACAUGCAAGUCGAACGGUAACGCGGGGGCAACCCUGGCGACGAGUGGCGAACGGGUGAGUAAUACAUCGGAACGUACCCAGUAGUGGGGGAGUAGCUCGGCGAAAGCCGGAUUAAUACCGCAUACGACCUAUGGGUGAAAGCGGGGGAUCGCAAGACCUCGCGCUAUUGGAGCGGCCGAUGUCGGAUUAGCUAGUUGGUGAGGUAAAGGCUCACCAAGGCUACGAUCCGUAGCUGGUCUGAGAGGACGACCAGCCACACUGGGACUGAGACACGGCCCAGACUCCUACGGGAGGCAGCAGUGGGGAAUUUUGGACAAUGGGCGAAAGCCUGAUCCAGCCAUGCCGCGUGUGUGAAGAAGGCCUCGG